CCUGCUUCUCCUCAUACACCUCCCUUCCUGUGUCAGACCUACUGUGUAUACAAGGGGAGAAUUAAAUGAGAGGGAGGCUGUUGUUUUGCUCAAACCCCUGAGCGCCCUCAUCCCUGAGCGUAAUCUGAUACUUGGUGUGAAGUACAACAGGGACUUCCUUUUGAUAAUGGUGAUAGCUGGGUUUGCCUUAUUGGCCUUUUUGCUGAUUGACUCUUGAUAUUGACUUGAAUUUGGUAUCUUAGCUCACGUAGAAACGAUUUAAUGACUCAUAUCGGUGACACGUUGGAGGUCUGUAAAAUGUACUUUGAUUACAUUUAGACCUGUGAAAGAUCCACUGCUGGUAUUUGGGUUUGACUGUCCUCGGUACUGACAGGAAAGCAGACUUCAGGAACGGGGACCCUCAACCAGCCUCACCAAUCCUGACUUUUGAGACAGAGUCCUAGAUCUUGAACAAAAUCUAAGUGUGGAAUGAAGGUGCUUUCAUGACUUGCCCAUUGCCUGUAGGAUCCUAGGGGCAUUCUUGCACAUUGAGAGCAGAUUCUCCAAUGUGUAGGUAACCAAAUGUCCAAUUUGUUCCCGUUGUUUCCUCCUCGGAGACCUAGGUUCAAUGUCAGGUGGUAGGGACAUUAUGCAAUGUGUGAAAUGCUUCGGGAAUUUGUUGUGAUUAACUUAGCUCAUUUUUCUUUUUAGCAGUUUUGGAACUUACUAUGUUACCGACUACGAAGUCUCGUAGAACAGCCCAGCCAUUGUAAUGUGCAUUUCGUGGUCUAUUAAGUAGAACACAAAACCCGUUUGAAUGAUUUGUUACCCAUCGUCUUGCGUGGUAUGUCAGUGUCAGCAAUUGGUGACAAAGUGAGAACACCACCACCCAUUCCAAAGGUUUGUUACCCGCAAUUGUGUAUGAGUGGACGGUUUCAUUAGUGAAGAGCGACACGGGAGUUCUGAGACACCCCUUCUCGCCACUGAGUGGUGAUACCUCUUAACAUAAUAUUUAAGAAUUCCCCUGUGCUGGUUGAUGAAGGCGGGAUGCACCAUGGUUCGUGCUGAGGGGACAAUCAGCCAGCCUCUAAAGCCGCAGUCUCACCUUGUGGGUUGAUUCAUGCAGUUCCUGUCUUACAUUCUCUUUCACUCUUUUGGCCUACUUCACACAGGCUGCAUGAUUGGGUCCUCUGGCCCCACCAACCACUUUCAGAAAUUGCUCUGGAUGAGGGAAAGAGGACGUUUGCCCCAUCCACUCGUGUUGUGAGUUUCCAAGUGACCUAAUUUUCCUGCAGCGGUCCCAAGCUGACCUUCCUUUCACAGGUAAGUCCCUUUGUAGAUUUGUACAAUCAUCACCUCCCUCAGGAUCUGUGAUGGGAACGUCCAGUUCCGGUCAGCCGGUGGGCCCGUAAUGAGAGGAGAGGACCCUGAACCGAUAGUCAAGACCAGCCGUGCAGAUGUUGCCGAGACCGUGUCACCCAUCGUGUUUCGUUCACAAUAAGUUUCCAGUAUGUGAGUCUGAAAGACCCUCGGCCCUUUCUUCCUGUCAUCUCUGAGCCUCAGCUUCCACAUCUGCAAAAUGGAAAUGACACCUUGCUCUUGCUCUCAGGCGUGGUGUGAAAAUCAAGCGUGAUCGUCUUUAUGAAGGGCUCAGCACACAGGAGGGCCAGCAACUAUUCUCAGAGGGUCUUGGGCAUCUCUUUGGAAAUGGACCUCUUUAACUCUGCUGUGAUGCCAGGAGGUAGCCCAGCAUCCCAGACCCUGCCUUUCUCUGAGCUGCAUUCUUUCCUGGCUGCCUUGGACGUCUGACAUUGAAGCUGAUGUCACUCAGCGUCAAGUUGGGGCUGGAGGGUGCUCGGUAACUGGCAGUGCCCAAAGGUCUCCUGUCUUUCCUUCUCUGUAUAAAGUUACUUCUUUUCUGGGCAGGGGUUAAUUUGGUGCAAAUCAGGUGAAGACUUUGACGGUUGGGUGUGAGAGUGUUAAGCAUAAAGACGAAUGGCUCUAAGGUGCAUUCAAAGACCCUCGGGACCUCUAGAGUCAGACACACCUCUGGUUCCUCUAUUGCUUUGUUCGCACCAGUUUUAUCCAGAAGGUGGCAUCGCAGAGCCUGAGGUGCACUCCCCAAAGUCCAAAGGAUCCACAUUUCUUUGUGGUUAGACACUAACGUAUGUAGCCUUUACACAGCAUGUUGACAUUUCAAAGACUUUUCAUUUAUCCCUAUACUUGGUUCAGUUACUUUCAAGCCGUGGGAGAUGGGGGUCCUUACGACUUCCUACCCAGUGAAAACCUGAGACCUGAGGUACUUAGAAAACUCUGUGCCCCAACACAUGUUCCUUCCCCAGGCGGCAGGUACAAAGGUGAACAAGAAUGGCUUGUUUGCUUGUGGAAAGCAGUUGUACAACUUAAUAACUGUGAUGCCUCCUCCUUCUGGCACACACACUUGUGCCCGCCCACUGCCCAUCAAAGUCAUGUUGGGUCAUUUCAUUGGGGGGAGGGAUGGGGAAGACGUAGAUGAAUGUUUUAUGGGUAAGUCUUCUGAGUACUGGCACUUCACAAAAUAAGUCCCAAGGUGGACGCUUCCAAAAGGGUGACUGUUUAAUUGGUGGCGUCUCAAACUCAGGACCCUGAGGGAAAGACAAGGUGACCCUCCCAAUUCAAGGUGGGGUCUGGCUUGGUGGCUCUUUCCCAGGAGUCCACUCUGGAGCCUGCCACAUCAGUUGCGUUAUGAGGCCUGUACUCAAUGAAUGUGUACUUCCCAGCGGGGAUGUUAAUGAGUUAUGAAUUCUUGGUGUGAAGUAUUUCAUGUCAAACCCUGUUAGCCUGAAGUGGAUUUUCAUUCCUCUUGCGUAUGUCGGUGACAGAAAGGGAAUGGAUAUCGAACACCUGAAGGUAAGGCCUUUGCACUUGUGCUGCCGAAGGAGCGCGAGGUAAGGCCUUUGAAAUGGAGUGGAUUCGUUGUUACACUGGUUCCCUGUUAUAGGCGCACGUUUCCACGGAUGAGUGUUAUUUCAUUGGACACAUGUACCACAUUUUCUUUAUCCAUUUCUACUGUGGAUGGAUGCUCACAAGUCUCUCAUGUCUUACACGUUGAGAAUAAUGCUGUAGUGAGGAUA